rnacentral:rRNA from 1 species
UACGUAGGGUGCGAGCGUUAAUCGGAAUUACUGGGCGUAAAGCGUGCGCAGGCGGCUUCGCAAGUCAGGCGUGAAAUCCCCGGGCUUAACCUGGGAAUGGCGUCUGAAACUACGGAGCUGGAGUGUGGCAGAGGGAGGUAGAAUUCCACGUGUAGCGGUGAAAUGCGUAGAGAUGCGGAGGAACACCGAUGGCGAAGGCAGCCCCCUGGGCUAACACUGACGCUCAGGCACGAAAGCGUGGGGAGCAAACAGG